UACGGAGGGUGCGAGCGUUGUCCGGAAUCACUGGGCGUAAAGGGCGCGUAGGCGGCGCGGGAAGUCCGUGGUGAAAGCCCGAGGCUCAACUUCGGGUCGGCCAUGGAUACUCCUGGGCUCGAGCACUGUAGAGGCAGGUGGAAUUCCGGGUGUAGCGGUGGAAUGCGUAGAGAUCCGGAAGAACACCGGUGGCGAAGGCGGCCUGCUGGGCAGUAGCCGAAAGGCUU
rnacentral:rRNA from 1 species